rnacentral:lncRNA from 1 species
GAGAAUGUGGGAGAAGAAGAAAAGAAGAAAAUGUAUGGAACAGGAAGAAAAGAACGUGAAAAAGAACUUGACUUCUUUCCAAAUAAAAUAAAAUUGAAACUAAUAAAUAUUUCUACUUUUAAAUAAAAAAAACAAAAUAAAAAAAUAGUCCCUCAAAACACUAUUGAGGACUCGAACCAAAGACCCAAAGGCACACUAACACACUACCAACCACCAGACCAGUAGGCCCAUUCUGACAUUAAAACAUAACAACAAAC